UUCGAGACAAACAUCGACGGUGGCCUGACGGUGUUCUGCCCGACUGACUCCGUCGUCAACGCCUUCCUCCCCAAGUACAAAAAACUAACGGCGUCCCAGAAGCUGUCGCUGCUGCUCUACCACGGUGUCCCGGUCUACCAGUCCCUCCAGGAUCUCAAAUCCAACAACGGCCUCGUCAACACGCUGGCCACAGACAAGGCGAAGAAGUUCGAUUUCACGGUUCAGAGUGACGGUGAGGUUGUCAAUUUGGAGACGGAGGUGGUGACGGCGAAGAUCACGGGGACGGUGAUCGAUCAGGAGCCGUUGGUGGUUUAUAAGGUGAACAAGGUAUUGCAGCCAACGGAACUGUUUAAGGCGACGGUGGCUCCCGCACCGAAGGAGGUGGAUGAUUCGGCUGAGGCACCAUCGGAUGAUUCGGAAGAUCAGACGGCUGAUAGUGAGAAGAAUGGAGUUGCGGGAUUGGACGGUGGGAGAUUGGUCACGGUUGUUUUGAGUUUUUGCGUCGGGGUUUUGCUUUUGUGAUUGGUUUGAGAAGGG
rnacentral:lncRNA from 1 species